rnacentral:misc_RNA from 1 species
UAAAAUUGAAAAUAUUUGAUAAUCAUCGAUUACAAUUGAACUAAUACAAAAAAUAUGAAAUAUGUUAAUUAUUAAUGAAAAAAAUUAGAGUGAGAUUCAAUACAAAAUAUUAAAGCAAGUCUUUCAAAAGGGUGCCAAUUUUCAGCUGUGCCAGAAAUAUUGUAAUAUCUCAAAUGUGAUCAAUGUUUGCUCAUUAUUUUUACAGUUCUUUCAACCGAUGAAGCCAUUAAUUUCUUUAGCAUAUUAUCAGCUUUAUACCCUUACGAAAAAAAAAAUCAUAAGACCCAAAACUAAGGAAGACAGAUAGAAUAGGAAAAGGGACAAAAAGAAAUCGCUGACCUCACAAAGAAAACAGCACCACGAACCAUUUGGAUAUACAAAAACCAUCUCAAGCUAAGGAAAAAGGCCAAGCAAUAAUGAGGAAGGAAAUGAUAAGUCUCGGGCAGAAGGAACGUCAACAAAACAGUACCAAUGCCUAAAAGAUAUGGAGCCAGAUAAUGUUUGCUCCCGGCUAAAUAUACAGAUUUUCGGCUUCCCCACUCAUUAAGCCGAGGGAAGCCAAAAAAUAUUUUUUUUUAAACAAUCUUCUCUCUUUUGAAGCUGCAUGCACUGACACUUUUUUGUUGUUUAUGUAACCUGGACACGCUGAGGAGGACGAGAAGAA